AUUCUGUUUUUAAAAUAAUUAUAGGUUCAUGUAUUGGACAGACUGGGGAGAAGUGCCAAAGAUAGAACGUGCUGGGAUGGAUGGUUCAAGCCGCUCCAUUAUAGUCAACACGGACAUUUAUUGGCCAAAUGGACUGACACUGGAUUAUGAGGAACAGAAACUUUAUUGGGCAGAUGCUAAACUGAAUUUCAUCCACAAAUCAAAUCUCGAUGGAAGUCAUCGGCAAGCAGUGGUUAAAGGCUCUCUUCCACAUCCUUUUGCUUUGACACUGUUCGGGGACACAUUGUACUGGACGGACUGGAACACGCAUUCCAUCUUGGCCUGCAGCAAGUACUCCGGGGAGGACCUGCGUGAAAUACAUUCCAACAUCUUCUCACCCAUGGAUAUUCAUGCUUUCAACCAGAAGAGGCAGCCAAAUGCUACAAACCCAUGUGGAAUUAAUAAUGGUGGCUGCUCCCACUUAUGUCUGAUGUCUCCUACCAAGCCCUCUUAUCAGUGUGCAUGUCCCACUGGUGUGAAACUUCUGGAGAAUGGAAAGACCUGCAAUGAUGGUGCCACUGAAUUGCUGCUUCUAGCCCGCCGGACAGAUUUGAGGCGCAUUUCCUUAGACACUCCAGAUUUUACAGACAUCGUUUUGCCACUGGAGGACAUCCGUCAUGCAAUCGCCAUUGACUUUGAUCCUCUGGAAGGGUACAUUUAUUGGACUGACGAUGAAGUUAGGGCCAUCCGUCGCUCAUUCGUCAAUGGGUCAGGUAGCCAGUUUGUUGUCACAGCACAGAUUGCUCAUCCUGAUGGCAUUGCUGUGGACUGGGUUGCCCGAAAUCUGUAUUGGACUGACACUGGCACUGACCGCAUAGAAGUUACAAGGCUUAAUGGGACCUUGAGAAAAAUCUUGAUAUCGGAAGACCUGGAAGAACCUAGAGCUAUUGUGCUGGAUCCUACAGUAGGGUACAUGUACUGGACUGACUGGGGAGAAAUUCCAAAGAUCGAGAGGGCAGCAUUAGAUGGCUCAGACAGGAUUGUGCUGGUAAAUACCUCACUUGGGUGGCCAAAUGGACUGGCACUGGAUUAUGCAGAAAGCAAAAUAUACUGGGGAGAUGCGAAAACGGACAAAAUAGAGGUCAUGAAUGCUGAUGGAACUGGGAGAAGAGUUCUUGUAGAGGACAAACUUCCUCAUAUCUUUGGAUUCACAUUAUUGGGAAACUAUGUUUAUUGGACAGAUUGGCAAAGACGCAGUAUUGAACGUGUGCAUAAGCGGACAGCAGAAAGAGAGAUCAUCAUAGAUCAACUGCCUGAUCUAAUGGGCCUCAAAGCUACAAAUGUACGCCAGAUAAUUGGUACAAACCCUUGUGCAGAGGAUAAUGGCGGUUGCAGCCAUCUUUGUUUGUACAGACCACAAGGCCUUCGCUGCGCUUGUCCCAUAGGCUUGGAGCUCAUCAAUGAUAUGAAGACCUGCAUUGUCCCAGAAGCUUUCCUGCUGUUUUCUCGGAGAGCAGAUAUUAGACGCAUCUCUUUAGAAACAAACAACAACAAUGUUGCUAUUCCACUUACUGGAGUUAAGGAAGCUUCGGCUCUGGAUUUUGAUGUGACAGACAAUCGAAUUUACUGGACUGACAUUUCAUUGAAGACCAUCAGCAGAGCAUUUAUGAAUGGCAGCGCACUGGAACACGUUGUAGAGUUUGGCUUGGAUUACCCUGAAGGCAUGGCUGUAGAUUGGCUGGGGAAGAACUUGUAUUGGGCUGAUACUGGAACAAAUCGCAUCGAAGUGUCAAAGCUGGAUGGCCAGCAUCGCCAAGUGUUGGUGUGGAAAGAUCUUGACAGUCCCCGGGCACUGGCAUUGGAUCCUGCAGAGGGAUUUAUGUACUGGACUGAAUGGGGUGGUAAACCGAAGAUUGAUAGAGCUUCUAUGGAUGGCAGUGAGCGGACUACUCUGGUACCAAAUGUGGGACGUGCCAACGGCCUAACUAUUGAUUAUGCUAAAAGACGACUGUACUGGACCGACCUCGAUACCAACCUGAUAGAAUCCUCCAACAUGCUAGGCCUUGACCGUGAGAUUAUAGCUGACGAUUUGCCUCACCCAUUCGGCUUGACUCAGUAUCAGGAUUACAUUUACUGGACAGACUGGAGCCGGCGUAGCAUUGAACGAGCCAACAAAACAAGUGGCCAGAACAGAACUAUCAUCCAAGGGCAUUUGGAUUAUGUUAUGGACAUCCUGGUCUUCCAUUCCUCCAGGCAGGCAGGCUGGAAUGAGUGUGCCUCUAGCAAUGGCCAUUGCUCUCAUCUCUGCUUGGCAGUCCCUGUUGGUGGUUUUGUCUGUGGGUGUCCAGCUCACUACUCCCUGAACUCUGACAACAGGACUUGCAGUGCUCCUACAACCUUUCUUUUGUUCAGUCAGAAGAACGCAAUUAAUCGCAUGGUGAUAGAUGAGCAGCAGAGUCCAGAUAUCAUACUUCCCAUACAUAGUCUCAGAAAUGUUCGAGCCAUCGAUUAUGACCCCCUGGAUAAGCAGUUGUACUGGAUUGAUUCACGGCAGAAUAUCAUUCGGAAGGCACAGGAAGAUGGCAGCCAGAGCCUCACUGUUGUGACAAGUCCAGUUCCCAGUCAGAACCUAGACAUGCAGCCUUAUGACCUGAGCAUUGACAUCUACAGCCGCUAUAUCUACUGGACCUGUGAAGCUACUAAUGUCAUCAAUGUGACACGCCUGGAUGGGAGACCCAUGGGAGUGGUGCUCAAGGGAAGUCAAGACAGACCCAGGGCCAUUGUGGUGAAUCCAGAGAAAGGAUACAUGUAUUUCACCAACCUGCAGGAAAGGUCUCCUAAAAUUGAGAGAGCAGCUUUGGAUGGAACUGAACGAGAGGUCCUUUUUUUCAGUGGUUUGAGCAAGCCUGUAGCCUUAGCUAUUGACAGCCAGCUAGGCAAGUUGUUCUGGGCUGAUUCAGACCUGCGGAGAAUUGAAAGCAGUGACCUUUCAGGUGCUAACCGAGUUGUUUUGGAAGACUCUAAUAUCUUGCAACCUGUGGGACUAACUGUAUUUGAGAACUGGUUGUAUUGGAUUGACAGACAACAGCAGAUGAUUGAAAAGAUUGAUAUGACUGGUCGAGAAGGACGUACAAAGGUCCAAGCUCGUAUUGCACAACUCAGUGACAUUCAUGCUGUGAAAGAGCUUAACGUUCAGGAAUACAGACAGCACCCUUGUUCUCAAGAUAAUGGUGGUUGCUCACACAUUUGCAUUGUGAAAGGCGAUGGGACCACACGCUGUUCUUGUCCAGUCCACCUUGUUUUGCUGCAGGAUGAGCUGUCCUGUGGAGAACCUCCAACAUGCUCCCCUCAGCAAUUCACCUGUUACACAGGUGAGAUUGACUGCAUCCCGGUGGCCUGGCGCUGUGAUGGUUUCACUGAAUGUGAAGACCACAGUGAUGAAAAAAACUGCCCAGUGUGCUCAGACACCCAGUUUCAGUGUGAAAGCGGACAGUGCAUAGACAGUGCCCUCCAGUGCAAUGGAGAAGCAAAUUGCCAGGACAACUCAGAUGAGAAGAACUGUGAAGUGCUUUGUUUAACCAAUCAGUUCCGGUGUGCCAGCGGGCAGUGCAUUGGUAAAAGCAAGAAAUGUGAUCACAACCUGGACUGUAGUGACAGCUCAGAUGAGCAAGGAUGCUACACAACAGAGGAGCCUGCACCACAGCCCAACAACACAAUAGGCUCCAUCAUUGGUGUAAUCCUUACACUUUUUGUGGUUGGAGCAAUGUACUUCAUCUGCCAGAGGGUGCUGUGCCCACGCAUGAAAGGAGAUGGAGAGACAAUGACUAAUGAUUAUGUGGUGCAUGGACCAGCCUCUGUACCUCUUGGUUAUGUGCCUCACCCAAGCUCUUUGUCAGGGUCUCUUCCUGGGAUGUCUCGAGGAAAAUCUGUGAUCAGCUCACUCAGCAUUAUGGGAGGGAGCAGUGGGCCACCCUAUGACAGGGCCCAUGUCACUGGAGCAUCUUCCAGUAGUUCUUCAAGUACUAAAGGCACUUACUUUCCUCCAAUUUUGAACCCACCACCAUCACCAGCUACUGAACGUUCACAUUAUACCAUGGAAUUUGGUUAUUCUUCAAACAGCCCAUCUACUCAUAGAUCUUACAGGCAUAGGCAAGCCACAUAUCACUACUACACAUUCUCAAAUAACAUGCUAUCAGGUGCUGUAUUCAUUCUACCUUGGAAGAUGAGCUGUUAUGUCAGAGCAGCAGUGGCUACCUUUCUACAGAGUCAAUGUUGUAGCAAGCUGGAAGUCUGAAUAGCUGUUAUGGUUUUGUGAUUUUUUGUUGUCGGUAUUCCACAUCAUUACAUCAUGUAAGUGCAACAGAGAAGUAGCAUGGACAAACACCAGAAGGAGAAGGAGCAGCCCUAUCACUGAGACACUUGUUUUAAGUCAUGAAAAAAAAUACUUUUUAGAGGAAGAAUGUACUCCGGAAACAUAAGCUGUGUUCCAGCUGCAGCUCUACCAUGUGUCUUCUUCAUGCCAAUUCCAAAGACUCCAGAGAUAGCAGAACUGGUGAGACUGUUUUUACCGGGCACUAAGUAAGGCAAAGUAAGGGAUGCUGAGGAUUGUGUCUUCCCUUGCACAUGUACGCACUAGCUGAGAUGAGUAGAAGUGCUGGAAUCCUGCCAUUCAUUUUAUAUUAGAGGAAGGCUAGAGCACUGCAGCUUUGUUGUGAUAGGGGGUAGGAAGAAGAAUGUCACUUCAGGAGCGUAAAAGAUGAGAUUUUUUUGGAUCCACCAGCACUGGGAGUGCUUCCCCAAGGAAAAGGUGAGAAUGUAAAAUCAGAUGCUUGUUCCUGGAGGGUAAUUGCUGAAUGUGUUCAACCUGCUUUCACCAAGGAGAUUUUGUAGCUAGCUGAGAAAAGUGCAUUUUGGGUAGAAUUGCCAACUGAAAAGCUGCCAUCUAACAACGGAAAGUUUUCCCUUGAAUCAAAUCUGCUGUCGAAGUACAGUUUAUAAGAAAGCAUGCUGCAGCUGUUUCUGCACCCCUUUCCUUGGUCCAUCAGAUUAGGGAUAUAACACAUGUGUUGGUGAGCUCAGUGACUUUAAAACAAAAAGAGGCAAACAAGAGCAACAACAACAAACUUCUUUCCUUUGUAGAUUCUCUGUGUCUCCAAAACUAGCUUACCUUGUCCAGCCUAUACCAUUUUUCAACGCAAGCUUUGAUGGCAGCUAAAUGUAAACCCCUUCCACAUAGGAAAGACUGUGAGCUACCGCCCCUCCCCUGCUUGCACCCUCUUGCAUAAGGAAAUAGCUUAACAGGAAAAUGUCUGGGAGCUAGAUACUUGCAGAAAUCAGAGGUUGCUUGUCUGAGGGCACUUGGAGAAUAUCUUUUGUGUCUGAGGCAAUGGAAAGGUUUCACAGGGUGAGUGUUCUGUGUGUGACAGUCUUGCCAGAAACUCUUAGCCCUGUCCCCUUGCCAAGAAGAUGGCCAUCUUAACCUGCAGAAGAUGUGGCUGGGGAGGCACAGAUAAGUAACCCACCACCAGCUCCCCCACAUCACUGAAGCAAUGUUUUCCAAACAGCUGAUGAUUCCUGCCAGUGGUUUGCUGAAUGAAGGGAAACAGGUAGCUUUGGUGCCCCUUUGGGUGCUUCUCCAGGGAUACACAUGAAGAGGAAUAAGGAACACAGAGAAGGAGAAGGUGAAUUAAUGAUGCUGGGCACAUGGUAGGAAGGGAAUGGAGAGCAUGCAGCAAUAACUGGUGGUUUUCUAAUAGCAGUAAUGCUGGUAUUGCCUUAAGAAUGGUAUGGCUCAUUAGCAUGGUAGGAAUUUCAGGGGGAAUAGCCUAGGAAGGGAGGAGAAGAGACCAGACUGAGCAGGUUGGGACAAAGAGCCAGUGCAAUCUGGCAGAAAAGAAGGAAGUCCUGUGCUUUGUCUUCCGUCUCUGUGCUAGAAAUGAACUAAUCAUGACAAGGUCUGAGUCUUGUGGGACCAGAGAUGAUUUAAGAGUGACCCCUUCCCACCAUCCCACUUGUACCUAGAGCAGAGAGAACAGGAUGGAAAUAAAAAUACCUUGCUUUUUCCUCCUCCACAUCUAGGGAUGGGUGAGAGUGGGGCAGAAGGGGCAUGCUGAAGGUGCAUAGGGCAUUCCCUGCAUUCAAACCCAAAUUUCUCUGUGUUUCCAUUCAGUCUUUAAAGCAGGAAGAGUACUCCCCAGAAAUAGAGAGGCUCUUCUAAAAUGAAGGCAGAGUGACAAUACCUCCACAUGCCACAGGCUGAUCAGGCACUGGCACAGGCUGCCCUGAGAAACUAUGGAUGCCUCAUCCCUGGAACUUUUAAAGGUUGAGUUAUUUGGGGCCAUGAGCAACCUGAUCUGAUGGGUGGCAACCCUGCCCACAGCAGGGGGGUUGGGACUGGAUGGGUUUUAUGAUCCCUUCCAACCCAAGCCAUUCUAGGAUUCUAUGAAAUGAGUAUCAUAGUUUGGUGAGGUAGAAAACACAACUGCUCUGGGCCACUUUGUCUUCCUCUUCUGAUGUGAGACUAAAAACUACCUGGUGGGAAGAGCCCUUUUUGUGUACUGCCCUGACUACAUUUUUGGGAAUUAAAUGCUCAAGCAAGAGAUAUCUGUUUCCAGGAUCUUGGACUGGCUGGAGGGCAGCAGGUGGUGACAUCAUGCUGGGGAAUUUGGGCAAAGUGUUAAGAAUCAGCCCCAGCAGCCCUGCCUUUAGAAGGGCUGUCCCUCCGACAGCUGACUCUUGCUCAGACUCAUUGACACUUGCGGAAAGCAUUAUAAAAAAUUUCAUGUGAGUUGUGUGUAUGCACUGCCUGCUUCCUGGGCUUCACUCCCCCUGGUUCUUAUCAUGUGGAGUACUUAAUGAAAACCAGAUCUUCGCCUCCUAGGGCAUUUAAUGCAUUUUUGUGGCUCAGUCCUUAACUGAGGCAGCUGUUGUCCCUUCCAUGAUAUCCCAACGUGCUGCUUUGAGAACAGGCACCAUGUUACUGACAUGCUUACUCAGCUUCAGGUAGAAAGUGAGCAGCAGGUGAACCCUUGAGAUAAAGGUCCAGAUCAUGUGCAAAUACACCCAGCACUGAAAAGCUCAUGAAGAAAGGAGCAGAAAGCAUCUCCUACAGUGGACAGGAGGUAAGUGUGUAAAUUAUUUUUUUAUUAAAAUUGCUCAUGAGGCAAUAGAUGCUUGAAAGAAAAUCCUGGUGUAUUUUUUCCUAACUGUCUUUUUCCAAGCAUUCUCUGUUUGCUGGAAACAAAGUCUCUGUAGCAAACACAGGACUCUCUUUCAGCACAGGGGGAGUGUGAACAGGAGGGAAAGACAGGCUUUUUUGUAUUGCUUCAAAACACUUGGCUCCUUUUGCCAUGUGGGUAUUUUCUCUCCUCUCAUGUGAUGUUUGGAUCAUCCUCCAGCUUUACAUGGCUCCAAAAACAGAGAACCAAGAAGAUAGAUGAGAUGUGAUCCUCAUGUCCCCAUUGUUCAUUUCCUUCACUUUAUUUUAUGAUAGUAAUAAAACCCAUCUCAUCCCACGACUGUAAAAAGCAACUGGCAAAGCACCUGUAAGACUAACAGAGCUUAGUAAUUCAGAUUCAUAACUUACUGCAGGCUCUCUGAGGCCUCUAACAUUUGUUUUUGAUUACCUGGUGUUUGUCUUGCUGGUGUGCGCAGUUAGAUACUGGCGCUGUAACCAGGUAUGGAGGGACUGAGUCACCUGUCUGCACUAUGCCACUGGGAGCCAACUUGGAGCAAUGAAAAAUAACAUUGCAAUGACAGCUUUUGGUUUUUUGUUCUUGGAUUGUAUUGGGUUUUCUUGUUUUGCAUGACAUUUUUCCUGAUUGUGUAACUGCAUGAGUUACACAAUAAGAAUUGCUGCAGAGACCAGUUUCAGGGCAGGUAAGACUGCACUGGGCAAGGGAUCUGAAGCAAAAAAGUCUGACAAGAAAGCUCUUUUUAAGGCUUUUUUGAAGCCAGCAUCAGUGCUGUGCUUGUGCUGGGGGCUAGCAGCUCAUGGGUAGGCUGCUGAGCAAGCAGGGGUGGAGCUGGCACACUUGUUUCCCACCCUUGACCUUGACCCUUGGCUGCCAGGCUUUAUAUAGCCUCGGGGAGGGCAGAAGCUAGCUUCUGGCCACAAGGCACAGAGGGUGAGCAGGGUUGCUGCCUGCUGUGAACAGAGAGGGGAGACCAGUGCUCGAGCACAGCCCACACUGCCCAUAAGGUACUGCAGCUAUGGGUGUAGGAGGUGGGUCUCUUUGCUCAGGAGACCAGCUCUCUUAUCGACAGUCUCUGAGACCUCAGGUUCAAACGUGGUCUCCACUAGACAGUGGGCUUCCCCUAGGAAGACUGGCAACACAGAUGGAGGGCCUGCCCAAAAAUGUGGCUGUUCAAGUCUCCAGCUGUGGGGAGUGUCAGGCACUCCCCCCUGCUGCUGCCAGGGGAAGGUGGCAGGAGUUCCACCUGUGUGAGGUGCGAGCAGGUGAAUGAUCUGCUCAGCUUGGUGAUGGAGCUCAAGGAGGAAAUGGAGAGACUAAGGACCUUCAGGGAGUGUAAAUCGGAGGUUGACUGGUGGAGUGACUCACUGGCAUGCUGCAGGGAAGGGUGCUGGGAAGAUACCCCCAGAAAAGUGGUGGACCCCCUGCCCUCACAGUCAGACAGACCUGACAGGUGAGGAGGGUUGGAAGAGAGUCCCGGCUCGGCGUCACAGACGCAUUCCCUGGCUGCCUCCCCAGGUCCCCCUAAGCAAUAGGUUUGGGGCACUGGAAAUUGUAGGGGAGGUGAGUGGGGAGGCGAGGGAGGAUCUGCCUAGGGCGAGGCGGUCAUCCCCAUGCCUUGAGACUGCCUCUGCCAGGAAAGACAGAAGGGUCACUGUGGUGGGCAAUUCCCUUCUCAGGGGAAUGGAGGGCCCCAUAUGCAGACCUGACUCGAUCCACAGGGAGGUGUGCUGCCUCCCUGGGGCCUGCGUCAGGGACAUCACCAAAAAACUCCCAGGUCUGGUUUGCUCCUCUGAUUACUACCCGUUAUUGAUAGUCCAGGCAAGCAGCAAUGAAAUCGCUUGGGGAAGCCUGUGAGAUAUCAAAAGAGAUUUCAGGGGUUUUCAGUGUGAAUUGUUGAGGGAGUGGGAGCACUAGUGGUAUUUCCUUCUCUCCCUUCUGGGGCGGUGAGGGAUACGGAGCAGUCUAGGAGAACACAAGCUUUGAAUAAGUGGCUGAAAGGCUGGUGCUGUCACAGGAACUUUGGGUUCUUUGAUCAUGGGGCGGUUUACUCGGCACCUGGCUUGAUGGCUGCAGACAGGCCUUGCCUGUCUCCAAGGGGAAAGCAGAUCCUAGCCCAGGAGCUGAAAGGGCUCGUUGGGAGAGCUUUAAACUAGGUAUGAGGGGGGAUGGGGAUAAAAUGACACUCACUAGGGUGGAGCGAGUAGUUCAGAAAUUUCAACUAGAUUUGAUGGGGGAAGAGGGUAGUGGUCAGUGGGACAGGAAAGGGCUUGAGGAUGUUGUCGUUGUAGGAGGCUGUGGGGAAAAACCUCUGACUCGUCAUGUAGGAUCUGCUGGGAAUUCCUCAGAGGAGGUAAUGUUGCCGACCCCCUAUCUGAAACCUUCUCGUGUCCCUCUAGGAAGCAGUGGGGGAAAACUUCAGAUUUCUUCUGGAAGUUUGAGGGAGGGCCCUCCUAGAAAGGUAGUGUGCCAGAAAGCCCAGCUGAAGUGCCUUUACACUAACGCACGCAGCAUGGGAAAUAAGCAGGAGGAAUUGGAAACUGUGAUGUGCUUGGAAAAUUAUGAUCUGGUUGCUAUCACAGAAACGUGGUGGGACAAAUCCCACAAUUGGAACACUCUGAUUGAGGGCUACAGACUCUUCGGAAGGGAUAGACAGGGCAGGAAGGGAGGGGGAGUUGCCCUCUAUGUUAGGAAGUGGAUAGAUUGCGAAGAGCUGAGUAACAGCCAUGACCAGGUUGAGAGCUUAUGGGUUAAAAUCAGGGUUCAGUCCAGUAAAGGACAUCUAGUGGCUGGGGUCUGUUACAGGCCACCUGAUCAGGGGGAGCCUGUUGACAAGGCCUUCUUGCUUCAGCUGCAGGAAGUGUCGCAUUCACGGGCUCUUGUCCUGAUUGGGGAUUUCAACCACCCAAAUACCUGCUGGGAUAGUGGCACAGUGGGCGGCAGACAAUCCAGGAGAUUCCUGGAGUCUGUUGAGGAUAACUUCCUGGUCCAGGUACUAGAUGGACCGGCCCGAGGUGAAGCUUUACUGGACCUGGUGCUCACCAAUGUGGAGGAGAGCAUUAGAGGGGUUAAGAUGGGAGGUAGCCUGGGCUGUACUGAUGAUGCACUGGUGGAAUUUGUGAUCUGGAGGAAUGCAAGCCUGGCAAAGAGUGGAGUCAGGACCCUGAACUUCAGGAGAGUGAACUUCCGCUGCUCAAGGAACUGCUGGGUGAGAUCCCCUGGGAAACUGUCUGUCAUGGUAUUGUCUAAGGAUCUGCGUCCGUGACAAGGGGGGACAGGCCCAAAAGAAAAAAAACGAGAAAGGAAGAAGGAAAGAAAAAAAAAAAUCGCCGGCGAUAA